AUUUUCUUCUGCCCCUCUAGACAGUGAGGCUCCUUAACAGCUUGAAUAGUGACUUUAUCCCUCUGCCUCCAACUUAGGUGUAUGUAUUGCUUAUUUUGUGUGUUGCAUGCUCAACGGAUCUGUGGUACUGAGGGACAUGGUAGAAAACCGCAGUGGUGUUAUUUGUUUAGUUGUGUUCCGUUUUCUUUGAAUCUGAUGUUGCUAUUGUCCUUUAAGGGUUUCCUUGAAAGUGUAACGCUCGGCAUCUCUAGAGUCAAAGAGCCUAGGUGAAUGAAAA
rnacentral:misc_RNA from 1 species